rnacentral:rRNA from 1 species
GUGGGGAAUCUUCCGCAAUGGACGAAAGUCUGACGGAGCAACGCCGCGUGAGUGAAGAAGGUUUUCGGAUCGUAAAGCUCUUUCGUUAGGGACGAACGUGCUCUUUGUGAAUAAUGAGGAGUAAUGACGGUACCUAAAUAAGAAGCCACGGCUAACUACGUGCCAGCAGCCGCGGCAAUACGUAGGUGGCAAGCGUUGUCCGGAAUUAUUGGGCGUAAAGCGCGCGCAGGCGGGAUAUCAAGUCUGUCUUAAAAGUGCGAGGCUCAACCUCGUGAGGGGAAAGAAACUGGUAUUCUUGAGUGUCGGAGAGGAAAGUGGAAUUCCAAGUGUAGCGGUGAAAUGCGUAGAGAUUUGGAAGAACACCAGUGGCGAAGGCGACGUUCUGGACGAUGUCUGACGCUGAGGCGCGAAAGCUAGGGGAGCGAACGGGAUUAGAAACCCCGGUAGUCC